rnacentral:rRNA from 1 species
AUGAAAGGAAAGACUGUUGAAGCAGGACCAUCCGUUCGCCAGCAGUCCAAGGACAAGGGAAAGAAAGUGGUGUUGGAGAAAUUCGAGUUUCCGCUACUUGUUUACAAGGGAAAAGAGGAGAUGGUGGAGACACCCAACUCCAAGCUACCUGGGAAAAGAGGCGGCGUUGCGGUCAUAUUGCCGUCAGCCUCGUCUUCAACAGGAAGGCCCACCAACGCUCGGAAUAUACUUCAAGCCGAUGCUCUUGAGUUUGUCCCCUCACUGGCCCAUAAACCUAGUGAGGAAUGCUUAGGAAUAAUGAAAAAACGUUCCCUGGAAUGGAAGGGAGUGUGACUUACACCUGGUGACCUCAAAACAGGCCACAUAGAUCCAACAUCUGCACCAUCAGUUCCUCUGUUUGAAGAAGCACCCAUCUUACGAGAGUCCUUUGAAGGUUCGUUUGAUCCAAUGUGACAUGAAUGGCGACAGAGAAAUGUCCGUCGAUCUUGGAUUGAUCUUCCAGCUGUCGUAGAUCAAGAUGCGGCGAGCCGACACCGUUCUCAUGUGAGCAUGUCUGUCAAGGGGAGAUGGAAAAACACUCGUCCAAAGAUCCAAGUUCAGAAUCCAGAUGAAUCAUAUGUUGAGCUUCCCGGUGCAUCCACAUCACAAAAUGAUGAGGGUGGUGCCAUCAUGCGACUGGCGGAGGCCCUGGCCCAACGACCUGAGUACCAAGAGUACAUUCAGCAGCAUCCUAAACACCAAGAGUAUGUGAACCAAGCUGCUCGUGUCCGUUCAAGAAGGGCGAUGUACAAAGAAAGAGAAAGGGCAGUACGGGCAAGGUCUGGGUCGAGCAGAGUCCAAGGGGCAGAACACAUUCCAUCGGAUGAGGACAGUCGGGCUAAAACCAAGAAUAAAUCAUUCGAGGUGUUCCAAGCAAUGCCAGUUGGUGUCAGGGCGGCGUCAGACAAGACCAGCGAAACAUCCUCCACAUCAAUACAUUUCAAGAGGAAGAAGGCACGCAAAACUAUCGUAGAAGGUCCUCGUCGUAAGACACGAAGCCAAAAGGGUUCAGAUUAUGAAGAACUUGGGUCCAGCUGUGGUGGGUCUUAUAAUCCCCUAUCAGACAGUACCCCUUGUCCUUCUGAAAAUGAGAUAGAACUCCGCCAUAGUGCAGAGCAUACAAACCAAGUCCUAGCCGCGAAUGAAACUCGUUCGGUUGAAGAGCAAUUAGCCAACCUUAUGGCAGCACUUCAGCAAAAGGAAGACGAGCUUGCAGCCCUUCGAGUUCAAAUGAACAACAACCAAAACAAAGGAAAUGAAGGGGAUGGUGGCGCAAGUGCUAGCAGCCAACAUGGAGGAGCAGGGCUUAACCUUGAGGCGAUCCAAAGAAUGAUCGCUAAAGGGGUAAAGUCGCAGUUGAUGCAAACUCAGUACUCGAUGCGGCCAGGGUAUGUUAAGCCGUACCCACCUGAUGUGGACCUAGUUCCUUUCCCAACAAAUUACAGGCAACCGCAGUUUAGUAAGUUCAACAGGAGUGGAUCUCCCCAUGAGCACAUAGCACACUUCCUUGCUGCUUGUCAGGAUACAGCUAACAACGGAGCACUUCUCCUUAGGCAGUUUGUACAGACAUUGUCCGGGCCUGCCUUCACUUGGUACAGCAAACUACCUCCAAGCUCCAUAGAAACGUGGGAACAAAUGCAAAACUCAUUCCUCGAGCAGUUUUAUAGCACAUAG